AGGGUAGCGUAGGCGGCUGAUUAAGUCAGCGGUGAAAGGUAGCAGCUUAACUGUUUUACAUGCCGUUGAUACUGGUUAGCUUGAGUUGACAGAAGGCAGAUAGAAUUCCUGGUGUAGCGGUGAAAUGCUUAGAUACCAGGAGGAAUACCGAUUGCGAAGGCAGUCUGCUGCAGUCACACUGACGCUGAGGCUCGAAGGUGCGGGGAUCAAACAGGAUUAGAUACCCCAGU
rnacentral:rRNA from 1 species